GGCAAUAUCACAUUGAAACACCGGUUCAUGUACGAUCACCAAAGUUAAGCAAAGUCGAACCUGGUCAGUACCUAGAUGGAAGACCGCUUGAGAACACCAGGUGAUGUAAG